CUUUAUCGGAGAGUUUGAUCCUGGCUCAGGACGAACGCUGGCGGCGUGCCUAAUACAUGCAAGUCGAGCGGACAUAUGGGAGCUUGCUCCCUGAUG
rnacentral:rRNA from 1 species